CUCCGCCGGCGACCGGCGCACGGGUGGAGUAACGCGUAUGCAACCUGCCCGUUUCAGCGGGAUAACCCGGAGAAAUCCGGCCUAAUACCGCAUGUGGCCGAGGGAGGCAUCUUCUUUCGGCCAAAGGAGGCGACUCCGGAGACGGAUGGGCAUGCGUGACAUUAGCUAGUUGGCGGGGGUAACGGCCCACCUAACCGACGAUGCGUAGGGGUUCUGAGAGGAAGGUCCCCCACACUGGUACUGAGACACGGACCAGACUCCUACGGAAGGCAGCAG
rnacentral:rRNA from 1 species